rnacentral:lncRNA from 1 species
UUGCCCGGCCCGCGAAGGAGCUCCUCAAGUCUUCAUUCAGCACCCUAUGGUACCGUGUGCCCGGCCCUUUCAGGGCUCCUCAGGUCUUCAUUUAGGGGGCUAAUGAAUCCAAGCUACGCCCGAUCUGUACAUGCACUGAUUAAUGCAACAUCUUCGUGCUCACUAAUGCAAAACUAUAAACAUGGCAUAAAUGAUGCAUGAACAUGCUAAAAAUGUUUGA